ensembl:misc_RNA 7SK 7SK RNA
GGAUGUGAGGGCGAUCUGGCUGUGACAUCUGUCACCCCAUUGAUCGCCAGGGUUGAUUCGGUUGAUCUGGCUGGCUAGGCGGGUGUCCCCUUCCUCCCUCACCGCUCCAUGUGCGUCCCUCCCGAAGCUGCGUGCUCGGUCGAAGAGGACGGCCUUCCCCGAAUAGAGACGGACCGGUCUUCGGUCGAGGGUAUACGAGUGAGGGUAUACGAGUAGCUGCACUCCCCUGCUAGAACCUCCAAACAAGCUCUCAAGGUCCAAAAGUGUCUUCAAUAUGUUAGGGACUAGGCUGGAAACUCAGUCAUGCAUGUGGCAAAGCAGCUCAUUAUCCAAGUGAGAUAUUGUUAUCUUGC